rnacentral:rRNA from 1 species
UACGUAGGGUGCAAGCGUUAAUCGGAAUUACUGGCGUAAAGCGUGCGCAGGCGGUUAUGUAAGACAGAUGUGAAAUGCCCGGGCUUAACCUGGGAACUGCAUUUGUGACUGCAUGGCUAGAAUCUGGCAGAGGGGGGUAGAAUUCCACGUGUAGCAGUGAAAUGCGUAGAUAUGUGGAGGGAACACCCGGAUGGACGGAAGGCAGCCCCCUGGGUCAAGAUCGACGCUCGAUGCACGAAAGCGUGGGGAGCAAACAGG